AUUGAACGCUGGCGGCAUGCCUAACACAUGCAAGUCGAACGGCAGCACGGCAGUAGCAAUACUGUGGGUGGCGAGUGGCGGACGGGUGAGGAAUACGUCGGAAUCUGCCCAGUCGUGGGGGAUAACUAGCCGAAAGGUUAGCUAAUACCGCAUACGACCGAGAGGUGAAAGCGGGGGACCGGCAAGGCCUCGCGCAAUUGGAUGAGCCGACGUCGGAUUAGCUAGUUGGAGGGGUAAAGGCCCACCAAGGCGACGAUCCGUAGCUGGUCUGAGAGGAUGAUCAGCCACACUGGAACUGAGACACGGUCCAGACUCCUACGGGAGGCAGCAGUGGGGAAUAUUGGACAAUGGGCGCAAGCCUGAUCCAGCAAUGCCGCGUGUGUGAAG
rnacentral:rRNA from 1 species